UCCUGGGCUUAGGUGAUCCUCCCACCCUAGCCUCCCAUGUAGCUGGGACUACAGAUAUGUGCCACCUCACAUCCUUUUCUUUUCUUUUUAUUUUUCUUUUUUGGAGAGACAGUCUUCUUAUGUUGCCAUUUUGAACUCCUGCACUCAAGUGGUCUUCCUGCCUUGGCCUCCCAAAGUGCUGGGAUUACAGGUGUGAGCCACUGCGCCCUGCCCAAGGUCCUUCUUCACUGGGCUAAAUCACAACAGGGUAGCUGACUUCCCACAGAAAGAGAGAACAAAGAAAGCAGGAGUGAGAAAGCGAGAGUAAGAGACAGAACAAAAGAGAGUGAGCAAGAAAAUGUGCACCCAUAUCACCCAAAUGUGCACCGAAGAUGGAAGUCACAAUCUUUUUGUGAUCUAAUCUUGAAGUGACAUCUCAUCAUUUUUUCACAUUUAUUAGAAGCAAGUCAACUUCAGCAUAUAACCAAGGAGAGAAAAUUAUACAACAGUGUGAAUACCAGAAUCAUGGCUCAUUGUGGUCCAUCCUAGGGAGUAUUUGAUGCACUGUCCUGGGCAAAUGGCAGAAAUAAAUUCUAUACUAAACCACCUUCACCUCUAUCCUUCAAUUUCUACUUGAAAUUCUGCUACCCGAGAGGUAUGACUCUGGGAUAAGGUGCUGUUCUCUUGGUGACCUUCUUAAAAAGCAAAUGUCUUUGAAAAAAAGUAACAUGGGAUUGGUGAGUGAUCAAUCAAUAGAUUUCUUUUCCCCAGUAAAUGGAGAUUUUUGUUUAUUUGUUUUAGAGGCAUUUUAUUUAGACAACUGAAAACAAUUAGAUGUUCAGAAGCAGUGUACAAUGAAAGAGAAAUUAAACCAGUUACUUUAUCAUGUAUUCCCUCUUCUUUACAACUAAAGCAAAAAAUAAAAUUAAAAAAAGCAUUCUGCUUUAAGGAAAACAGUCAGAAAAAUAAGCCAAUAUAUUUUUCUACUCCAUAAUAACAUAAACAGCUACAAGAACCCUAACUGUAAUAAGAGAAAUUGGAUGUUGGCUUGUAUAUAGUCAUUAAAAAGAUAACAGGCCACUGUACUACAAGAGGAUAACUCCACCUCUCUUCAUCUGAUACUCUUGAGUUUUGACUUAAAGGUAACACCAAGUUUAUUGUUCCAGCACUAGAGCUAAUUUGUUUUCCCCAUUAUUUACUGCUCUUUCUGCCUUAAGCAGAGAGUAACUCUGGAAGGCUGAUGCUUUUCUCUGCUUGCUCGUUUUAAUCCAUAAGUUGGAUACUAACUGCAUCAUAUGAUUGACCCUCAGGCCUUAACAUUAGGAGUGAGGGAGGGGUCAGGGAGUCUGAGACAGGCAAGUAACAGUCGACCAGGGACGGAAAGGGAGAAACUGAGUAUUUUAAAGUACUGCAGGAAUAGGGAUGCCAGAGAAAAAUGCAUUUGGGAGAAACAGGACGCUAUCCUUAAAGAACAAAAAUCUGCUCAGAGGUCUGAUCACAGGGAGAAGGGGGGCUCUUAUGGCAGGGAGACCACUUGCUUAGAGUCUGAUAUUUGAGUUAAGUCUCUGUCUCCCACUGAACAGUAAGUUCUUGUUUCCUAUUCGCCAAUAUUUUUCCACAGAUUAUUAUAGCGCUUGGUGUACAAUAGUUGCUAAAUGAAUGUUUGUAGAAUAAAAGUUGCAUUUUGCUGGCUUCGCCCUUUUGCCCAGGGUCAGCCAUCAAUCACCUGACUAACAUGGGAUUUCGGGCUGCUUCUGUGUACACGCUUUUCCCUGACCUCUGGCCUUCUCCUGUAUUAUUUCUGAGGUGGGUACAAACCCCUACAUCUCUGGCCUCCUGAAUCACCAGAAGCCCCGAACAGAGGUGUAUGUGGUAUGGCCUCUCCUGUAGACAGGUCAAUCCCUCAUCCUCAUCUAAGACUUCCUGGAGUCUAAAUAGGCACUGAUUCCAAGUGUGACAUGCAGUUGUAGGUGAAGUCCCUGAGUCAGGCGCCUGGCCUAGAAGAAAAAGCAACAUUGCCGUCAGAGGCCAAGAAGCCAGUGGACUCCCAUCUCUCUGGCCUGACCCCAUGAACCCAGGCACUGGCCUCCUCACUGUUUCAGGUUUCAGUUUUUAUAAGUAUACCUUCUCUGAUCAGUUUUAUGAUACUUCUAUAUGAAACUACAUUAAACAUUACAGCUCUUGUGUGAUUAGAAGGCAGAUAGAUAGAGGCUCAGAAAAGUAACAAAACCACAAAAAACCAAACCAACCAACCAAACAUAGUUUGUCCAUUAACCAAGAGACUAAAUUCAGGGGCCAAGAAAAUCAGAAAGUGUCAAAUUAGUGAAGUCUCAAAUUGGCUUUCACCUAAUUAAAAUAGCAGCUGAAAUUUCCCUUUCUAUACAGGGCAUUGUCAACAGAUUUUUUAAGAGUGUUGGGUGCCUGAUCCUCAGAGCAGGCUGAAACACCCUCCCUGGGUUUUGCUGACACAAAUGCAAAGGCUACCAAUGCCAGGUCUUCGAGAGGAAGUGGGAGGCACUGGCCCCCAAAUGGUAAAGUUGGUGAGACUUAUCUUUCAGGAAAAUGCCCCGUUGUUGAUGUUUUAUCCUUUGAUCCAAUAUUAUUAUUCUCCCUUUUUUCCUCUCUAGAAAUAAACUAUUUACUCACUAUUUACCUCCUUUACCCAAGGCAUGCUUGUGUUUUUUAAAGUUAAUAUUUAAUUGAAAAAGGAAUCACUGGGGGUACAGUGGGAAUUUUGUCAUAUCA